UAUGGAUGGCUUAUAGUGGAC
rnacentral:siRNA from 1 species